rnacentral:sRNA from 1 species
CGAAUGCACGGGUUGGCAUGACGCGGAGGAUGCUGGCGCCCCGCUGGUGUACGCCCUGCUGCUGCGGCGCUGUCGCCAGGGCCACUGCGAGGAGUUCUGUGUCUACAAGGGCAGCCUCUCCGGCUACGGAGCUGUGCUGCCCCCGGGUUUCAGGCCACACUUCGAGGUGGGCCUGGCCGUGGUGGUGCAGGACCAGCUGGGAGCCGCUGUGGUCGCCCUCAACAGGUGAGCCAGGCCGUGGGAGGGCGCCCCCGAGACUGCCACCUGCUCACCACCCCCCUCUGCUCGUAGGUCUCUGGCCAUCACCCUCCCAGAGCCUAACGGCAGUGCAACGGGGCUCACAGUCUGGCUGCACGGGCUCACCGCUAGUGUGCUCCCGGGGCUGCUGCGGCAGGCCGAUCCCCAGCACGUCAUCGAGUACUCGCUGGCCCUGGUCACCGUGCUGAACGAGUACGAGCAGGCCCUGGACGUGGCGGCAGAGCCCAAGCACGAGCGGCAGCGCCGAGCCCAGAUACGCAAGAACAUCACGGAGACUCUGGUGUCCCUGCGGGUCCACACUGUGGAUGACAUCCAGCAGAUCGCUGCUGCGCUGGCCCAGUGCAUGGGGCCCAGCAGGGAGCUCGUAUGCCGCUCAUGCCUGAAGCAGACGCUGCACAAGCUGGAGGCCAUGAUGCGCAUCCUGCAGGCAGAGACCACCGCGGGCACCGUGACGCCCACCGCCAUCGGAGACAGCAUCCUCAACAUCACAGGAGACCUCAUCCACCUGGCCAGCUCGGACGUGCGGGCACCACAGCCCUCAGAGCUGGGAGCCGAGUCACCAUCGCGGAUGGUGGCGUCCCAGGCCUACAACCUGACCUCUGCCCUCAUGCGCAUCCUCAUGCGCUCCCGCGUGCUCAACGAGGAGCCCCUGAUGCUGGCGGGCUUUCAGCGGGGCCCUGGCCAACCUCAGUGACGUGGUGCAGCUCAUCUUUCUGGUGGACUCCAAUCCCUUUCCCUUUGGCUAUAUCAGCAACUACACCGUCUCCACCAA